UGUCAUUUUAGGUUCCCCCUGUGUUUCUGUUGGACUAGCCCACAUGUCUUACUUGGGUUAGUUUAAGUUCUGUUUGGUUGUAGCUUUAGUUCUUUUCACUAACUCGAUCUCUCUUUGAUUAUUUCUUCUUUCUCUUACAUUACAUGAAGUUACUUUCGUCUGUCUCUGAUUUCUCAAACUCUGAUUAGACCCAGACCUUUGUCCUGUGCAUAAUUUCUUGGUCACAGUUAUACAUUUAUAUAUCUUAGUAACCUUUGCUGAUAUAAAAUAGCAAACAAAAUACAUCAUCCCUUGACUGCUUGCAUCUUUUGCAGGUGUUGUAUGGCGCUCACUCGUCUCCACCAAAGAGCGAUGUCAAGCGAAUGUGAACCCCCUAAUCUUCAGUGUUGGAUAAACAAAAGGAAAAAGAGGAAAAAAGGACACGAAGAGGACACAAACAGAAGCAGAACUUGUAAUAUGAUUUCCUCUCUGAAUUUGUCUUCACACUCUGGCUAACUUCUUUCCUGUCUUUAUUUUUCUGUCUCUCACAGUCUCCGUCCUCUCCUGUCUCUGUACUCUGAUCGUUUUCAUUGCUCUUCAGAAGAGUCCUCAAAUUAAAGCCCG